GGGGGGGGGGGGGGGGGGGCGGGGGGCGGGCAGGUCGAACGGCAGCACAGUAAGAGCUUGCUCUUACGGGUGGCGAGUGGCGGACGGGGGAGGAAUACAUCGGAAUCUACUUUUUCGUGGGGGAUAACGUAGGGAAACUUACGCUAAUACCGCAUACAACCUACGGGUGAAAGCAGGGGAUCUUCGGACCUUGCGCGAUUGAAUGAGCCGAUGUCGGAUUAGCUAGUUGGCGGGGUAAAGGCCCACCAAGGCGACGAUCCGUAGCUGGUCUGAGGGGAUGAUCAGCCACACUGGAACUGAGACACGGUCCAGACUCCUACGGGAGGCAGCAGUGGGGAAUAUUGGACAAUGGGCGCAAGCCUGAUCCAGCCAUACCGCGUGGGCGAAGAAGGCCUUCGGGUUGUAAAGCCCUUUUGUUGGGAAAGAAAAGCAGCAGGUUAAUACCCCGCUGUUCUGACGGUACCCAAAGAAUAAGCACCGGCUAACUUCGUG
rnacentral:rRNA from 1 species